AUCGCUUCUAGCCUUUUGGCUAUGAUCUUUAGUAGUAAACGUUUAUUGUUCUUUGACAAGAACAAGCCCAUCUCCGGAUGGGUAACUUGUCAAGUCAAUAUUUGGCAGCGGUGAGGCUUCUAGCUUGCUAGAACCUCACAAGCAUGGCCUCGGAGCUGCACUAUUUCCGAGCGCUGUGCACGUAUU
rfam:Monosiga brevicollis MX1 MONBRscaffold_9 genomic scaffold, whole genome shotgun sequence.